AGGACAAGGAAACUGAGAAUGGGUAUGGGGCCAGGAUGUGGGAACAAUGGAUGAAGAAAAAAUGAAGAACACAUAAAUGGGAGGAUUGAGAAGAGCACUUCCAAAUAUAUUGGAUAUAUUUCAGUGACCUGUUUUUUAUGUGAAACAAAUACUUUAGCAAGAGCUGACUGCAAAAGCAUCGCAUGUUUCUUCUUGCAUGCACAUUGAGUUAGUGAGAUCACUCAUAAUAACCAAAAUUUAUUGAGCACAUUACCAUGUGGCAGGUAAACUAAUUUGUAUGUAUUAAUUUGUAUUAUAAUCACAGCAUGUCUAAGGCAGGUUUGUUAUUUUCUUCUUUUAUAAAUAAAGUGAGGGACUGAGAAGUGCGAUAACUUCUCCAGGGCUAUUUCUGAAGCUAGGUGUCCCCGCUUAAGAGAAGUCCUGCUUAACUGCUAACUUAUACUUAUUUUGGCCCUUUGGAGAUUUUUUUUUCUUUUUUUUUUUUCUUUUUUACGGCUGCACCUGGGGGAUAUGGAAGGUCCCAGGGCAGGGGUGGAAUCAGAGCUUCAGCUGCUGACCUCCGCCAUAGCCAUGCACUGGAUUUGAGCUGCAUCUGCAGCCUACACCGCAACUUGUGGCAACACCAGAUCCUUAACCCAGUGACUGAGGCUAGGGGUCAAACCCACCUCCUCAUGAAUACUAUGUCAGGUUCUUAAUCCUCUGAGCCACAGUGGAAACUCUAGGAGCUUUUAAAAUUACUACUAUUUUUUAUUUUUAUUUUUUGGCCAUGUCCGUGGCAUAUGGAAGUUCCUGGGCUAGGGAUCAAACCUGUGCCCCAGCAGCAACCCAAGCCACUGCAAGUAAAGAGAUAAAGUAAGAUAAAACCCAAGGACAGAUGAACACAACAAAAAUGUUGACAUCUGGAAAGUGGGAUACCUGGUAACUGAAUCGGUCUGAGAGCUGAAUGGAGCCCUUACCUGACAAAGUGGGGAGUUGAAAAGGGAUUUUGCACCUGUGGAAUCCUAAAAGUCUCAUGGAAUGGUGACACCUCUAGAAAGUGAAGGGUGGAGGAGAUGUUGAAAAUUGGAGCUUUAGCUCCAGUUGUGUUUGAGAAGCAAUUAGAUUCCCAAAGCCCCUUUCUACUUUGAUAGAUUUUUGAGGUUUUAUUUUCAGGAGAGGUAAAAUAGAGAGCCUGGGGUGGGGUUAGCUAAAUUGUCUUGCACACCACUCCCCUAAGGGAAAAUUAAGUUUAUUCUCAACAGAACAACCAGACUGAUCCUGAGAAAAUACCUUCUCUUGUAGCCGGGAGUAAGAGUCAUCUUACUCAUUCCACUACAUUCACACUGGACUUCUUGCUCUUCCUCCAACAUGGGGACCACUUCUGCCUUGUGGCAUCGACUGUCUCUCUUCUCUGCUUGGAGUGUUCUUCCCCCAGAUAUCUGUAAGCCUCAUUCCCUCACUUUCCUAAGAUAUUUAGUUAAAUUUUACCUUUUCAAAUGGACUGUUUAUGAUAAACAGAUCUGAAAUUGCAACCUUUCCCAGUCCUUACUAUCUUUUUCUCUUGCUUUAUUCUUUCUUUUUUAUUUUUAUUGAUUUUAUUUAUUAAACUAUAGUUGAUUUACAAUGUUGGUUAGUUUCAGGUCUAUAGCUUCAGAUUCUUUUCUGUUAUAGGUUAUUAUGAGAUAUUGAAUGUAGUUCCAUGUGUUAUACAGUAAAUCAUUGUUGAUUAUCUCUUUCCUAUAUAGUGGUGUGCAUCUAUUAAUUCCAAACUACUAAUUUAUUCUUCCCUCUCUUCUUUCCCUUUGGUAACCAUAAGUUUGUUUUCUAUGUUUAUGAGUCUCUGUUUUACAAAAUAACUUGAUCUCAAUUAUAGUUUUAGAUUCUACAUGUAAGGAAUAUUGUGUACCUGUCUUUCUAUGCCUGACUUCACUUAAUAUGAUAAUCUCCAAGUCCACUUAUUUUGCUGCAAAUGGCAAUAUUUUAUUCUUUUUAAUGACUUGGUAGUAUUCCAUUCUCUAUAUAGCACAUCUUUUUUUAUCCAUUUAUCUGUUGAUGGACGCCUAAGUUGCGUCCAUGUUUUGGCUAUUGUAAAUGUUACCAUGAACACUGGGGGUGCAUGCAUGUUUUUAAAUUAGAGUUUUAGAGUUUUCCAGAUAAAUGUAUAGGGGUGGGCUUGCUGGAUCAUAUGGUAACUCUAUUUUUAAUUUUUAAAGUAGCCUCCAGAGUGUUUUCCAUAGUGGCUGCACCAGUUUAUAUUCCCACCAAUAGUGUAGAAUGGUUCCCUUUUCUCCACACCCUCUCCAGCAUUUAUUGUUUGUGGACUUGUUAAUGAUAGCCAUUCUGACUGGUGUGAGGUGGUACCUCAUUGUAGUUUUGAUUUCCAUUUCUCUAAUAAUUAUCAAUGUAGAGCAUAUUUUCACGUGCCUGUUGGCCAUCUGUAAUCUUCUUUGAAGAAAUGUCUGUUUAGGUUGUCUGCUCCCUUUUUGAUUCGGUUAUUUGUUUUAUUGAUAUUGAGUUGUAUUGAUAUUUUGGAGAUUAAGUUCUUCUUGGUUGCUUUGUUUGCAAAUAUUUUCUCCUAGUCCAUAGGUUAUCUUUUCAUUGUGUUUAUGGUUUCCCUUUGCUGCGCAAAAGCUUACAAAUUCGAUUAGAUCCUGUUUGUUUAUUUUUGCGUUUAUUUCUUUCGCCUUGGGAGACUGAACUAAGAAAAUAUUACUACAAUUUAUUUCCAAGAAUAUUUUUCCUAUGUUCUCUUCUAGGAGUUUUAUGGUAUUAUGUCUUAUAUUUAAGUCUUUAAGCCAUUUUAACUUUAUUUUUGUGUAUGGUAUAAGGAUAUGUUCUAACUUCAUUCAUUUACAUGUGGCUGUCUAGCUUUCCUAACACCACUUGCUGAAGAGACUGUCUUUUCUCUGUUGUAUAUUCUUGCCUCCUUUGUUGAAGAUUAAUUGACUAUAGGUGUAUGGGUUUGUUUCCAGCUUCUCUAUUCUUUUCUGUUGAUCUAUAUAGCUGCUUUGUGCCAUCUUCUUGCUUUAUUCUUCAAUUUAGCAUCCUAUUUAAUCUCCCUGUGCCUUAAUUUCUUUACAUGUAAAAGAAGGAAAAUAACAAAACUACUUUAUUUAUCAUGUUUCUUGUUUGUCUAUAUUCUGUGCCUCUUAUUCUGUUUGUUUUUCCUGUGAUAAUAGAAUAUAGAGAAAAUAGAUUCUCAGCAUUUGCUUUGUUCAACUACUGUCCCUUCAGAAAUUAGAAUAGUGCUUGACACAUAGUAAUUAAACAAUACCAUUUGAUAUAUUUAGAUGUCGUUGACAUAUGAAUAAAAGGAUUCCAAGAUUAAAGUUGAGGAAAUCUUUAGGAAAGUAUGUCAAAAGAUUGAAUGAAGGAAAUUGAGAGAUUAAGAAGAAAAUUUCGUGUCCAAUCUAAGAGGUUCAUUGUUCAAAUAAUAAGAGUUCAGAAAGAGAAAAUGGAGAAUAGAGGAGAAGACACACAUUAGAUAACCGAC
rnacentral:lncRNA from 1 species